UCCGGUGGCUAUGACGAAGAGGUUCCACCUGUUCCCAUACCGAACACAGAAGUUAAGCUCUUCAGUGCCGAUGGUACUUGACUGGCAACGGUCCGGGAGAGUAGGUCGCCGCCGGAU
rfam:Clostridiales bacterium strain WTE2008 genome assembly, contig: Ga0059123_110